rnacentral:rRNA from 1 species
UACGGGGGGGGUAAGCGUUGUUCGGAAUUACUGGGCGUAAAGGGCUCGUAGGCGGCCAACUAAGUCAGACGUGAAAUCCCUCAGCUUAACUGGGGAACUGCGUCUGAUACUGGAUGGCUUGGAUUCGGGAGAGGAAUGCGGAAUUCCAGGUGUAGCGGUGAAAUGCGUAGAUAUCUGGAGGAACACCGGUGGCGAAGGCGGCAUUUUGGACCGAUAUUGACGCUGAGGAGCGAAAGCCAGGGGAGCAAACGGG